UGUGAACCGAGGGCAGUGAGCAGAUGGGCCUCCGGGUGUCAGGUUUCCAGUCUAGGCUCCCCCCGCCCCCGAUGUAGUCAAAGGGGGCUACAGCCUGAGGAAAGUGGGCAGUCCCAGAAGAGACCAAGCAUGCCAGGAGAGGGGCCAACAGGGUCUACUGAUUGGUUAUUUGAAAGCCUCCCAAGAACCUGUCUGUUUGCAAUGGUUUUGCCUGGAAAAAAAAAAAGUUGCUGAUUGAGCUCUGCUUUACAGAAGGCUGAGAAGAGCCUCUUCCU